GAUCAUGUAGCUGAUGGAUAUGCAGCGCUGACCACUGGUAGGCCCGAGCAGCAUGGUGUAAGCCUGCCCAUACAGAUCCUCCAUGGGUAAUAUUUGGAAGAGUUAUCCACUGGAAUUCGUGCAGAGUUCGCUGUUAUUUUUACAAGUACAAGCUUAGGGAAACCCCCAGCGUCUAUAGGAAGAGUGAGGAAUGCACACAUGUCACUAGGGGGGUACAGCCAGCUCUAGAAGCCCCAGGUCCAGCCAGAAGCCAAUCUAACCCAUGCUGCAACCUAAAAAGCUUUGCUUAUACUGUACAGGUACUAAAAUCAGUUUUGCUGUAGGAAGCGCCAUGUUCUGCGAUUGCCUGAGCUGGCUGUAGUGCAUCCUCAUGAAGGUGUGUGUGGUGAAUGAUCUUCGGUAGCAAAGGAGUCAUUUCCCGGCCCAAGUCACCUGCUAGCUGCACCUUCCUGCAUUCCUCCAUCCCUCUGGAGCUCUGGAAAACACCAGCCUGCUGAUCCCCGGCUGACUCAGGCAAUUAGUAAAAUUAGCAGAAAUGGCUUCCAGAGUCAGAGCCUUGGCUUUUAAAUAACUGACAAGAGAACGUCAGGCUUCCUCCGAAUCCCUGCAUGCCUUUGUGAUACACUGCCCUGUGAAACACGGGCUCAGUUACUUCUGUGAAGAACUUGUCCUUGCCGAGAGCCAGGGUGAAGAUCACACAGCACAGGCUGACAUCCUCACUCAUGCUGUGACGGCUGCAACAAUGAGGAGCCAUGGGAUGAAUCAGGAACCAAAGCCAACUCAUUAUAGAGCAUCCAAAAGCUGAGACGUCUGAAGGUGAGAGCUGUGAAUGUAGAAACAGCCUUAAUGAAAGCACAAAAUACCCAACAGCGAACCAGUGACAUGGCACGCACCACAACCUUUUGCUCAAGCCAACAGACUCAAGUGAGAAAGGACUUUGAGUUUCAUCCCUACCAAACUGAAAGAGACCGUGUCUGAA